GCCAAAGCGGUGGACAACCGCAGGAUUCCCAACAAGUUACGUGCCGAGGUGAAGGUCAUGUCCUUCUGGUUGCGCGCCUCCCGACGCAACUCCACAUAAGCUCCCACAAUGUAGUCGGUGAGCUCAUCCGGAAUAGUUGGAUUCUUGCGCUUGCACAGGUUAAUGUAGCGCCGCAUAAGAUUCAUGUCCAGAGCCUUUACUCGAGUGGGUGGCUGUUUGCUGUGGCUAUGCACAUAGGUUAUGUGCUUGGCCAAGCGCAAAUCAUUAUCGCGAUCCGGUUUAUCCUGGAUGAGCCACAGCAGAUCGAAACGUGAGAGCAGGGCUGCGGGAAGCUGAAUGUUCUGCUCCACGGUACGACGAGGAUUGUAGCGUCCAAAAGCGGGAUUAGCAGCGGCCAGGAUGGAAACGCGAGCGUUUAGGGUCGUCAUGAUGCCUGCUUUGGCUAUCGAAAUGGUCUGCUGUUCCAUCACCUCGUGAAUGGCUGUACGAUCCUGAUCCGCCAUCUUGUCGAACUCAUCAAUGCAGCAGACUCCCUGAUCAGCCAGCACAAGAGCUCCUCCUUCCAAUGUCAUCUCGCCUGUGAGAGGGUCCUUCAUGACCGCAGCGGUAAGACCCACCCCCGAAGAACCUCGCCCUGUGGUGUACUGCGAUCGCACGGCCAAUCGGCUAAUGUAGCCCAGCAGCUGCGACUUGGCCACACCGGGAUCUCCCAUCAGGCAGAUGUUAAUGUUGCCACGAAUCUUCAUGCCAUCGGGCCGCUUGUCAACUCCUCCGACCAACAGCAAGAGCAGCGCUUUCUUAACAUCCAAAUGGCCAUAGAUUUCGGGUGCCAAGCUGGUGGCCAAGCGCUCGUAGAAGUCAUCCUGGGCCAAUUCCUCCAGCUCUUCUGGAGUCAGCUCGGCAUCCUUGUCCGAAAUCUCGUCGUUCUUGUUGAUACAGAUGAUGCGCUAUUAGGAAGGUAACAAUAUAUUAAACAUUUAUAUAAUAUUGUUGCACUUAAACGAGGUAACUCACGUGAGCUUGAAGGAAUGUCUCCGAGAGCAAACCCUGAAUCAUCUGAGCGAAACCUGUGCGCAUUAGUGGCAAGAACACUCCAGAGACCACAAUGUGAUCCCCAGGCUGGGCCAUUCGAGUGACCUCACCCCUGCACAUGAUGGUCAUGCUGCGCGGAAUGUGGCCCACGGGCACCUGGUCGCUGUGCUCCUGCAUUUUGACCUCCUGGAACUUGACGAACUUGGAGCCGCGGGUCUGCAGAUACAGACGACCUCCCGCUUUGUUCACUCGGCAAUCAUCCGACGGGCAAUCGUGCACGGGCGUGAAGGAUAGCGAGUUAACUGGCUGAUACGUCUCCGAGCCACAGCGAUCGCAUGUGUAGGUGGCAACCACCAUCAUGGGCUUAACCUCCGUGCAGCGUGUAACAAUGCCGCGAACGGUGACCAGUUUACCAAUGUGCUGGGCCUUAACCUCGCGAAUAGAGUGCGCCUUCUCUGUGGACAGUGGUUUGAAGCCCACCUCGCUAAAAGGAGUUCGAUUUUUAGAGUUAGAUUCGGAGGAAAACUGCGAAAAUCGCUCAAUUGAAAAACUUACAAUCGCUUCAUCAGCUCCGAGGGGAAAGAGUUCCGCUCAUCGCGCUGUUCCAUGGGAUUCCUGGUGCGGGACUCCAUCAUCAGGCGGUGCUCAAUGUACACAUCCAGAGCAUCCUUGGCGUGUACCUCCUGCUGUUUGUAGCUGGGCAGGAGUUCAGCAAUUACAUCGCUGAAUAUGGACGUGUAUCGCCGACAAUUGUCGACCACCGCCUCCGCGAGACUUUCAUUGAAUUCCGCCAGAUCAUCCAGAUCGAUGGUGAUCAGAACUUGCUCUCGAUGGGCCAACUUCACCAGCUGAGAUCCGUAGACGAACUCCUUUUUGCCAUCAUCGUCGCACUUGCAGAAUUCCGAAAGGAAGGUCUUGAUAGAUUCUGCAAAUCAACAAACAUUGAAUGUUUGAUGCUUCGUCCAAGAUAAAGACUUCUUUGUACUUACCUCGGUCUUGGGCAUAAUCUCGUCGAGCCAUUUUGGGCUUGGUUUUUUUUUUUUUUUUGUACUUUCAACAAUGAACAACAAAUUGCGUACAGCUGCUUGCCAAAGGUGUUUUUUCGGACGCUGUUUGCUGGGAAAUGCGGGGAAAACAAUGAGAAUGUAAACGCUUCCCGCCAAAAACGCGUUUGAUUAGAGAUGGUACUAUAGAUUGAGAUGUGAGAUAAAUU
ensembl:ncRNA asRNA:CR45871 antisense RNA:CR45871